rnacentral:rRNA from 1 species
CGUACGGGUGGCAGCAGUAGGGAAUGUUGCGCAAUGGGCGAAAGCCUGACGCAGCAACGCCGCGUGAUCGAGACGGCCUUCGGGGUGGAAAGAGCUGUUAGGGGGGACGAAACGUGACGGUACCCACAGAGGAAGCAACGGCUAACGCCGUGCCAGCAGCCGCGGUAAUACGGGGGGUGCAAGCGUUGUCCGGAAUCAUGGGGCGGACAGAGUUCGUAGGCGGCACUGAAAGUCUGGUGUUAAAGGCAGCGGCUCAACGUCGGGACGGCACUGGAUACUUGCGAGCUAGAAUGCGGUAGAGGUAACGGGCAUUCCUGUUGUCGCGGUGAAAUGCUUAGCUAUCAGGAGGAACAUCGGUGGCGUACGCGCUUUACUGGGCCGUCCUUGACGCUGCGGAACGACAGCCCGGGUAGCA